UUCUGGAGAAUGCAAAUAUGUCUCAUGGUUGGCUGGCUAUGAGUCGGACAUAGGCCCUUUGACUCUGCUUCCAGUGAGUACCAUGGGGAUCAAUGCCAAGACUUCUAUGGAGAACUGCUCUACCUUCAGAAUGGCAGCUUUCCUACAGGAUUUUGAGUAAUCUGGAGCCCUCAUAGCAUGCAGAGCCCAGCCAAAGCACAGAAUCAUCAUGUGAUUUCACCAAGAGAGUGAGAACUUCACCAAGAGAGUGAGAACUUACCACCAUCCAUGCCCUGAACCCCUGGCUCACUCACUUAAGCACACACUGUUUCCAGCAGCCACUUGUAUUGACCAUUCAUCCUGAGUUUC